CUGGGGGCCAAUCGUCAAUUAGCCAUGCAGCACCUGUGCGGGCUCCCGAAGGAGGACCGUGUUUCCACGGCUUCACCCCGCAUGUCAAGCCCUGGUAAGGUUCUUCGCGUUGCGUCGAAUUAAGCCACAUGCUCCGCCGCUUGUGCGGGCCCCCGUCAAUUCCUUUGAGUUUUAGCCUUGCGGCCGUACUCCCCAGGCGGGGUGCUUAAUGCGUUGGCUUCGGCACGGAAGGGGUCGAUAUCCCCCCACACCUAGCACCCAUCGUUUACGGCUGGGACUAC
rnacentral:misc_RNA from 1 species